rnacentral:rRNA from 1 species
UUGGAGGGCAGUCUGGUGCCAGCAGCCGCGGUAAUUCCAGCUCCAAUAGCGUAUAUUAAAGUUGUUGCAGUUAAAAAGCUCGUAGUUGAACUUCGGGGUCUACCCAUUGGUCAGGCUUAAUUGUCUGUACUGGUGAGAUGGAUCUCUAUUCCUCUGAGGAACUUUCAUGCCAUUUAUUUGGUGUGAUGGGAAAUCAGGACUGUUACUUUGAAAAAAUUAGAGUGUUUAAAGCAGACUAUCGUCUGAAUACAUUAGCAUGGAAUAAUGAAAUAGGACGGACUGAUUCUAUUUCAUUGGUUUCUAGGAUCACCGUAAUGAUUAAUAGGGAUAGUUGGGGGCAUUAGUAUUCAAUUGUCAGAGGUGAAAUUCUUGGAUUUAUUGAAGACUAACUACUGCGAAAGCAUUUGCCAAGGAUGUUUUCAUUAAUCAAGAACGAAAGUUAGGGGAUCGAAGACGAUCAGAUACCGUCGUAGUCUUAACCAUAAACUAUGCCGACUAGGGAUCGGACGAAGUUAAUUUUAUAAUGACGCGUUCGGCGCCUUACGGGAAAC